rnacentral:siRNA from 1 species
UUAAUAUCUGAUAUGUGGGCC